AGAUCAACUUUAAUGAUUAUCAAGCCGUGAUCGCCUUUGUAAAUAUUGAAAGAACACACUGGAAGUUGCUGAUCAGUAUUUUUGGUGGAUCCAGCGGCAAAUUCCAAAGAGAAAGCAGACUCGGAAAAUGCUGCGAAAAGAGUACGGGAAUACUUCAAGAUGAGGAGGACCUGCUAUGGCAAGGAGGACUGGGG